GACGAACGCUGGCGGCGUGCUUAACACAUGCAAGUCGAGCGAUGAAGUUCCUUCGGGAAUGGAUUAGCGGCGGACGGGUGAGUAACACGUGGGUAACCUGCCUCAUAGAGGGGAAUAGCCUUCCGAAAGGAAGAUUAAUACCGCAUAAGAUUGUAGCUUCGCAUGAAGCAGCAAUUAAAGGAGCAAUCCGCUAUGAGAUGGACCCGCGUCGCAUUAGCUAGUUGGUGAGGUAACGGCUCACCAAGGCGACGAUGCGUAGCCGACCCGAGAGGGUGAUCGGCCACAUUGGGACUGAGACACGGCCCAGACUCCUACGGGAGGCAGCAGUGGGGAAUAUUGCACAAUGGGGGAAACCCUGAUGCAGCAACGCCGCGUGAGUGAUGACGGUCUUCGGAUUGUAAAACUCUGUCUUCAGGGACGAUAAUGACGGUACCUGAGGAGGAAGCCACGGCUAACUACGUGCCAGCCGCCGCCGUAACAC
rnacentral:rRNA from 1 species